AGUGAACGCUGGCGAUAGGCCUAACACAUGCAAGUCGAACGGCAGCACAGUAAGAGCUUGCUCUUACGGGUGGCGAGUGGCGGACGGGUGAGGAAUACAUCGGAAUCUACUUUUUCGUGGGGGAUAACGUAGGGAAACUUACGCUAAUACCGCAUACGACCUACGGGUGAAAGCAGGGGAUCUUCGGACCUUGCGCGAUUGAAUGAGCCGAUGUCGGAUUAGCUAGUUGGCGGGGUAAAGGCCCACCAAGGCGACGAUCCGUAGCUGGUCUGAGAGGAUGAUCAGCCACACUGGAACUGAGACACGGUCCAGACUCCUACGGGAGGCAGCAGUGGGGAAUAUUGGACAAUGGGCGCAAGCCUGAUCCAGCCAUACCGCGUGGGUGAAGAAGGCCUCCGGGUUGUAAAGCCCUUUUGUUGGGAAAGAAAAGCAGCAGGUUAAUACCCCGCUGUUCUGACGGUACCCAAAGAAUAAGCACCGGCUAACUUCGUG
rnacentral:rRNA from 1 species